rnacentral:tRNA from 1 species
GCAAGUGCAGCUUGUCUGCGAGCAGCGGUCUUGUAAGCCGAAGGUUAAAUAAAUUUAUUUCACUUGCU